CCUACGGGGGGCUGCAGUGGGGAAUAUUGGACAAUGGGCGCAAGCCUGAUCCAGCAAUGCCGCGUGUGUGAAGAAGGCCUGCGGGUUGUAAAGCACUUUGAGUGGGGAAGAAGGCCUGGGGGUUAAUAGCUUCUGGGAUUGACGUUACCCACAGAACAAGCACCGGCUAACUCCGUGCCAGCAGCCGCGGUAAUACGGCGGGUGCGAGCGUUGAUCGGAAUUACUGGGCGUAAAGGAAUCGUAGGCGGGUGAAAGCCCUGGGCUUAACCUGGGAACUGCAUUGGAUACUGUUUGGCUGGAGUGUGGUAGAGGGGUGUGGAAUUGCCGGUGUAGCAGUGAAAUGCGUAGAGAUCGGAAGGAACACCAGUGGCGAAGGCGGCACCCUGGACCGACACUGACGCUGAGGUGCGAAAGCGUGGGGAGCAAACAGGAUUAGAUACCCCAGUAGUC
rnacentral:rRNA from 1 species